UCCCGGGUCGUCUAACGGAAGGACAGCUGGUUCUGGCCCAGCCGAUCUAGGUUCGAGUCCUGGUCCGGGAG
rnacentral:tRNA from 1 species